GCCGGGGUGGUGAAACUGGUAGACGCGCCGGAUUCAAAAUCCGGUUCCUUCGGGAGUGUCGGUUCGAUUCCGACCCUCGGUACCA
rnacentral:tRNA from 10 species